GACGAACGCUGGCGGCGUGCUUAAUACAUGCAAGUCGAACGGUGAAGCGCCUUCCUUUUUGGUGGGUGAGGAUGAGUGGCGAACGGGGGAGGAACACGUGAGUAACCUGCCCCCUUCUCCUGGAUAACCGCAUGAAAGUGUGGCCAAUACGGGAUAUUCUGGGUCAGUCGCUUGAUGGGUCCGGGAAAGAGAUUGUCUCGGUGGGGGAUGGGCUCGCGGCUUAUCAGCUUGGUGGUGGGGUGAUGGCCUACCAAGGCGGUGACGGGUCGCCGGCCUGGGAGGAUGGGCGGUCACAGUGCGGCUGCGCCGCCCACAAGACUCCUGCAGGCGGCAGCAGUGGAGAUUAUUGCACAAUCGGAGCACGGCUGGUGCAGCGCCGCGGCGUGGAAGAUGGUUGCCUUAUCGUUGUGCUCCUCUUUCGCCGGUGAAGCAGGACUGCAUCGUUUGUGGGUGGCUUGACGGUAGCUAGAUAAGAAGCGACGGCUAACUACGUG
rnacentral:rRNA from 1 species